ensembl:lncRNA
GUGUGUUCUAAUCCUCACUUUGUCCCCUCUUUGCCCCAGAAGCACCUGGGCUUUGCUUGUGUUGGCACAGGAUAUAAAAAAGGAAAAAGCAUCACUUUGCUCUGAAAGAGGAAUCCUACAGAGCGAGGCAAGAGUACACAAGUAAAAACAGGACUGGCCCCUCCUUCCAGCACAGAACUUCCCAUGUGGUCACGCCAAAUUUCCAUUUAAUGGCCAAAGGAUUUCCAAACAGAUUCAGCAAUUACAGCCAGCACUAGGAGGCUACAGGGUUCAUAAAGAGGCUGUCCAAAAGUAUGAUUAAACUUCCACUAAGGACGACUGCAGGGGACAGGGACAGGUGAGGAGAGAUCUUCUCCAAAGCAUGGUGCAAGUGCACAUUCAUAUGUACUGUUUCUGCAUCACCUUCUAUCUAUUGUAUCAGCUAGUGUUUAUUCUGGAAGUAAAAAA